rnacentral:tRNA from 1 species
ACAGCGAUGGUUCAGUAGUAGAAUGCUUGCCUUCCAUGCAGGAGACCUGGGUUCAAUUCCCAGCCAAGGUA